UUUACAUUUGAGUGAGUGGCGAACUGGUGAGUAACACGUGGGAAACCUGCCCAGAAGCGGGGGAUAACACCUGGAAACAGAUGCUAAUACCGCAUAACAACUUGGACCGCAUGGUCCGAGUUUGAAAGAUGGCUUCGGCUAUCACUUUUGGAUGGUCCCSCGGCGUAUUAGCUAKAUGGKGGGGUAACGGCUCMCCAUGGCAAUGAUACKUASCCRACCUGARAGGGUAAUCGGCCACAUUGGGACUGARACMCGGCCCAAACUCCUACGGGAGGCAGCAGUAGGGAAUCUUCCACAAUGGACGAAAGUCUGAUGGAGCAACSCCGCGUGAGUGAAGAAGGGUUUCGGCUCG
rnacentral:rRNA from 1 species